rnacentral:rRNA from 1 species
GAUGAACGCUGGCGGCGUGCCUAAUACAUGCAAGUCGAGCGAACAGACGAGGAGCUUGCUCCUCUGACGUUAGCGGCGGACGGGUGAGUAACACGUGGAUAACCUACCUAUAAGACUGGGAUAACUUCGGGAAACCGGAGCUAAUACCGGAUAAUAUAUUUAACCGCAUGGUUCAAUAGUUAAAGACGGUUUUGCUGUCACUUAUAGAUGUAUCCGCGCCGCAUUAGCUAGUUGGUAAGGUAACGGCUUACCAAGGCAACGAUGCGUAGCCGACCUGAGAGGGUGAUCGGCCACACUGGAAGUGAGACAAGGUACAGACUACUAAGGGAGGCAGCAGUAGGGAAUCUUCCGAAAUGGGCGAAAGCCUGACGGAGCAACGCCGCGUGAGUGAUGAAGGUCUUCGGAUCGUAAAACUCUGUUAUUAGGGAAGAACAAAUGUGUAAGUAAAUAUGCACGUAUUGACGGUACCUAAUCAGAAAGCCACGGCUAACUACGUG